GACGAACGCUGGCGGCGUGCUUAACACAUGCAAGUCGAACGGAAAGGCCUUUUCGGCGGUACUCGAGUGGCGAACGGGUGCGUAACACGUGGGUGAUCUGCCCUGCACUCUGGGAUAAGCCUGGGAAACUGGGUCUAAUACCGGAUAGGACCGCACUUUAGUGUGUGUGGUGGAAAGUUUUUUCGGUGUAGGAUGAGCCCGCGGCCUAUCAGCUUGUUGGUGGGGUAAUGGCCUACCAAGGCGGCGACGGGUAGCCGGACUGAGAGGUUGGUCGGCCACAUUGGGACUGAGAUACGGCCCAGACUCCUACGGGAGGCAGCAGUGGGGAAUAUUGCACAAUGGGCGCAAGCCUGAUGCAGCGACGCCGCGUGGGGGAUGACGGCCUUCGGGUUGUAAACUCCUUUCGCCAGGGACGAAGCGUUUUGUGACGGUACCUGGAGAAGAAGCACCGGCUAACUACGUG
rnacentral:rRNA from 1 species